GACGAACGCUGGCGGCGUGCCUAAUACAUGCAAGUCGAGCGGACAGAAGGGAGCUUGCUCCCGGAAGUUAGCGGCGGACGGGUGAGUAACACGUGGGCAACCUACCCUGUAGAUCGGGAUAACAUCGAGAAAUCGGUGCUAAUACCGGAUAAUCAUUUGAAGUGCAUGCUUCGAAUGUAAAAGAUGGCUCCGGCUAUCACUACGGGAUGGGCCCGCGGCGCAUUAGCUAGUUGGUAAGGUAAUGGCUUACCAAGGCAACGAUGCGUAGCCGACCGGAGAGGGUGAUGGGCCACGCUGGGACGGAGACACGGCCCAGACUCCUACGGGAGGCGGCAGUAGGGAAUCUUCCGCAAUGGACGAAAGUCUGACGGAGCAACGCCGCGUGAGUGAUGAAGGUUUUCGGAUCGUAAAGCUCUGUUGUUUGGGAAGAACAAGUGCCGUUUGAAUAAGGCGGCACCUUGACGGUACCUAACCAGAAAGCCACGGCUAACUACGUGCCAGCAGCCGCCGUAAUAC
rnacentral:rRNA from 1 species